rnacentral:snRNA from 1 species
AGCUUUAUGCAAUGGCAGUAUCAUAGACAAUGAGGUUUAUCUGAAGCGUGAUUUUUGCUAAUUGAAAAUUUUCCCAAUUACCCCACUGUGACGACUUGGAAAGUGGUUCUAGGGGAAAAAUAAUGAAUUUAGAAACCAAGUCUUUUUA